ACGAACGCUGGCGGGCGUGGCCUAAUACAUGCAAGUCGAGCGGAUUGAUGGGAGCUUGCUUCCCUGAUAUCAGCAGGCGGACGGGUGUGAGUAACACGUGGGCAACCUGCCCUGUAAGGACUGGGAUAACUUCGGGAAACCGGAGCUAAUACCGGAUAAAUCCUUUUUCCUCUCAUGAGGAAAAAGCUGAAAAGGACGGUUUUCGGCUGUCACUUUACAGAUGGGCCCGCGGGCGCAUUAGCGUAGUUUGGUGAGGUAACGGCUCACCAAGGCCGACGAUGCGUAGCCGACCUGAGAGGGGUGAUCGGCCACACUGGACUGAGACACGGGCCCAGACUUCCUACGGGAGGCAGCAGUAGGGGAAUCUUCCGCCAAUGGACGAAAGUCUGACGGAGCAACGCCGCGUGAGCGAAGAAGAAGGCCUUCGGGUCCGUAAAAGCUCUGUUGUUAGGGAAGAAACAAGUAUCGGAGUAACUGCCGGUACCUUUGAACGGUACCUAACCAGAAAGCCACGGCUAACUAACGUGCCAGCAGCCGCGGGUAAUACGUAGGUGGCAAGCGUUUGUCCGGAAUUAUUGGGCCGUAAAGCGCGCGCAGGCGGUUCCUUAAGUCUGAUGUGAAAGCCCCGGCUCAAACCGGGGAGGGGUCAUUGGAAACUGGGGGAACUUGAGUGCAGAAGAGGAAGAGCGGAAUUCCACGUGUAAGCGGUGAAAAAUGCGUAGAGAUGUUGGAGGAAACACCAGCGGCGAGGCGGCUCUUUGGUCUGUAACUGACGCUGAGGCGCGGAAAGCGUGGGGAGCAAACAGGAUUAGAUACCCUGGUAGGUCCACGCCGUAAACGAUGAGUGCUAAGUGUUAGAGGGUUUCCGCCCCCUUUUAGUGCUGCAGGCAAAAACGCAAUUAAGCACUCCGGCCUGGGGAGUACGGCCGCAAGGCUGAAAACUCAAAGGAAUUGACGGGGGGCCCGCCACAAGCGGUGGAGCAUGUUGGUUAUAAUUCGAAGCAACGCGAAGAACCUUACCAGGUCUUGACAAUCCUCUGACACUCCUAGAGAUAGGACGUUUCCCCUUCGGGGGACAGAGUGACAGGUGGUGCAUGGGUUGUCGUCAGCUCGUGUCGUGGAGAUGUUGGGUUUAAGUCCCGCAACGAGCCGCAACCCUUGAUCUUAGUUGCCAGCAUUCAGUUGGGCACUCUAAGGUGACUGCCGGUGGCAAAACCGGAGGAAGGUGGGAUGAACGGUCAAAUCAUCAUGCCCCUUAUGACCUGGGCUACACACGUGCUACAAUGGGUGGUACAAAGGGUUGCAAAAACCGCGGAGGUCGAGCCAAUCCCAUAAAACCACUCUCAGUUCGGAUUGUAGGCUGCAAACUCGCCUACAUGAAAGCUGGAAUCGCUAGUAAUCGCGGAUCAGCCAUGCCGCGGUGAAUGACGUUCCCGGGCCCUUGUACACAACCGCCCGUCACACCACGAGGAGUUAGUAAACACCCGAAGUCGGUGGGGUAACCGUAAGGAGCCAGCCGUUCUAAGGUGGACAGAUGAUUGGGUGA
rnacentral:rRNA from 1 species